CAACCAAACAUAAUUGAAAACAUGAAAAUAAAAGAAGAUGUUUUCAUUCCGAGAAAACCAUAAAUAACGUCAAAAGCAAAGAUAAAGGAGUGUGGCGGCUGCUAUAAUUCCAAUUAAACAUAAAUGCUUGAUUGUAGCAUCCAAAAGAAAGGCACCAUGAGUGAACCAAGCUAUAAUAUAAAAGAAACUAAUUCUUUUCAUUUAGCCUAAAUAAUAAUAAAAAAAAAACUAAUAUUAAAUCAUCACUUGUCUAGACGUCACAUGGUUGAAUCAAAGACAAUAAAAAAUUGCUAGACUAAAAGCAAAGUUAAAAAAAAUAAAAAAAAUGGCUACAGCAGCGUGUAAAUCAACAUCAUCGUUCCACUCUUUUCUCCAAAGCAAGUAAAUGGAAGAAAAAAAAAUAAAAUAAAGAAAAACAUUGCAAUGUGCUCCACUCCACAAAGUGUCAGCCCCUAUUCUAAACCAAGCCUAGACACCACUUCCAAUUUCUCCAAAACUAAUUAACCAAGUUGCUAAUUCCCAAUGAGGGCCACCGUGGCUGCAACUUUCUAUCCAAAUGAAGCCAAUUCUUCUUUCACGUGGCAGCAGCANCAGCGUGAAUAAAUGGACAAAACUAAACCUCCGUGCAACAAUUCUUUUCACCCUAAAAGCAAUANCAAAACGGUGUGUGCAGACCCUUUAAUAAAAGAAAAAUUCAAUGUAAAAUAAAUUGCACAGGAACGUGUAAAUUAACAGCAAAUGAGUGGACUAGGAGUAGGUAGCUGUGACCGUCCAAGACUCUUAAAUGGCAUGUGUACUUGCUUCUCAUCAAUCAAAGUAAAAUCAAUGGAAGAAAGGAAGCCUAGAUGAUUCUCGGUUUUUGGAAAACUCAAUGGACUUUAAUUCAAUGAAGAACAUUCAAGAAAGAGAGAGAACAUUUCAGGCAAAAACAAAAGGUAAAAGAAAGAAAAAAAAAACGUUAUCUUCAUUCAAGCACGAACAUUGAAACCGUGAGCAACCAAAACAUCCUCUGGAAAAACAUUCUAGCCAAAUUGAAAGUGCAGAGUGUGUCCGACGGCUCUCCCAUUUUUUUUUCAGCCAAAAUCAAGUAAUAAAACCAUGUUUCCAACCAAGCAUAAAAACGUUGCAGCCCUCCCUUUCACAAAACGUUCNAGCUGCUUUCACUCCCCCUUUGUUCCAGCCGAGAAUGUCCAAUAAAAUGAGUGACGACUGAUGGGUUUAGAUCCCUAGGACCAUGUGUCCUUAAAUGAGGUGGGGUCCACCCUAAAAGUAAACCCUAGGUGGUGCCAUGUGUCCUACAAAAUUGGGCCCAACAACAUUUUCCAAAAUUGGCCCAAGAUGCAAAGAGUUUGUCUAAAAAAAUUUAAGCAAUUAAAAUUACAAUACAACUAAAAUUUAAAAUGUCUAAUUGAGAGUCUUGAAUUUAUUUUGCCUCCUUCCCAAUGCUCCAAAUUGUUUGUCCAAAAUUUUCCCUGAAAAUAAUAAUGCAAAUAAUUAGCUCAGAAAAUUCAAAUUAAUUAAAAUUAGAAUUUCUGAUCAAAUUAAG
rnacentral:lncRNA from 1 species